rnacentral:lncRNA from 1 species
CAAACUGUGACUGCUGGCAGAUUUUGUCAGCUUGAUCACCCAUGUGAAAUCCUGCUCUCAGGAAGCACGGAUGAGGUCAGGGAUACCGAGAACACCACCCUCAGAAAUACACGUCUGUGCUACAGUGUAAAAAUCAAUAGCUGUUUACUCAACUCUAUGAAUAAUAGAGUUUGAGAUGUAAAUAUAUAAUUGAUGCAUAUAAAAUCCAUAGGGUGAGGCUGAAGUGAGUCGCGACGACUUCCCUGUUCCCUACAUCCAUUUUAACAACCCCCUGGCUACCUGUGAUGCCCUCGCUGCCCCCAAGGCUUCCUCAGCCCCAGGUCUCUGAAGCCUGGCUGCCACGAAACCUUCCUGCAGGGAACGUGGAUUCCCUGGGAACUGUGAAGCAAGGCUUUCUCUCCCUUCCUGCAAGGAGCACGCCCUGUAGAACCCAAAGCAUUUGUCUCCCUGUUAGGUUCGUGGCUGUUGGAAUGAUGCAGCAGGAAAAGCCCUGGGCUCGUGUUACGCACCGUCAUGCCCCGGCACAACGCCAUGGCUGGGCUGUAGCAGGUUUGAAUCCAGCACUGAGGUAGGACGCCCCGCUGGGAGCUGUUCCAUCUUCCUUUCCUUCUUUUCUGUUUAAUUCUUUCUGUGGAAAAAAGAAAUUCCCCAUCCUCAUUACCAGCCGCUAGCUAUGAGCAUCCCUGAGUUUGUUUCAGUUGAACGGAUUCAUUGCCAAACCUGUUUUUCCAAGUGCAUCGAUUGGGGUAGACUACCAGCCAUUGCUUGUGCUAAACUGUAUUGUUUUGUUGUGUUUUUUUUUAAUGAGGAGGCUGGGUUUUGUCCUUUGUAGCAGUGAUGCAAUUGUGUUUCUAGGUCAGGUCUUUCUGUGCAGUCACAUGAAGUUCCAAUUUGGACAAAACGCCCAGUGAGGGUCUUAAUGUUUGAUGCUGUUAUGAUUCGAGUGUUGUCUUAUCAAAUUCUAUUUCCAAUUAAAAGAAUUGGAUUAGCUCUCAGACUGAGACCUUUGGUGUUAUUUUUAGCCCACAACUAAUGAACCCCCCAAAAUAGAGCGUAUCAUAAAAAUACAGCGAUUGGUUCUGCUGGAAAGGUUAGGGAAAUACAUUAGCAGAUCAGAAAGGGUAAUAAAUCUUCUGUCACAACCUCCCUCAUUAAGCGAGAUAAUUUGAAAUUGCCUCUAGUGUAUUAAACAGUUCAUUAUUUUUUAGGGGGGCAACACACGAGACAAAAGAGUUGUGUUCUUUUAAUUGAUAUCCAAAGCCCGAAUCAAGCAAAUUCAGUCAAGAAAAAUCAGCCUGAGCAGUGUGGCCAUAAAGCUUGGCCAGAGCCACCCAAACCUUCAGCUCCUCUUCUCCUAGGAGGAAAGGUCUGAAAAUACUGAAGGGUCGAUUUGGGGUUAGGGAAAGGGAAUAGCCCAUAGCCCUGCUACGUUUGAUGUGGAGUGUCUCUCCACCGACACAGCUGCAGAAUCAAAGAGAUACUUUAAGGUUCAUGGAUAUUUGGCUGGUUAUAAUAGGACAGCCUCCCAGAACUUCAUUUCUCUGCUUUAUCAGGACCCUAGUGUUAUUCCCGAGGCAUCUAAUAAAUCAAGCAAGCAAAGGGUACCUCUAUCCCAGCAGGUCUGUGGGAGCACAAAGGGUAACUUGAGUGAGAAACUGCAGCAACAAAGGGGAAUUUUGGGUGUCAGCCGAACUGAAGGAUGGAGCCCAUGCCAGGGUACAGCAGAAACACUGGUCUGCGUGCAUGGCCAUGACCUCUCUCAGUAAAAAUGGGACAUCACCACCCUCGUGUUUCCUCAUGCUUCCUCGACGCAAGGAGCAUCACUGCCUGAACUUCAGCCUUCCCCGAAAUUCCUCACUUCCCAGGACACUUUUGACCUGGCAAGCUGCAUGCUGAGGACAAGCUGGAGGGUUUUCUUCACUGUAUCUCUACAGUAAAAAGAUGCUGGCACUAGACCAGAAGAUGCCUGAGAUCUGGCUGCCACCAGGGUAGCAUCAGGUUGGCGCGUGGGACAUCCUGUCAUUUUCAUCCUGUCAUUUUUACACGCUCAGAGCCAAAUUGCAUCUUGGUGUAAUGCUGCUGCCCCUUGUACACAAGUCAUCUUGGUCCCGUGCCCAAAUGGAAGGCAAAUGUGAAGGGGAAAUAGGAGAAUAUUGUAUUUGAGAAGAUGGACUCAAAGGUGGGUGUUGUUCCUCCUUUAGUAGCAAAAGCACAAGUAAAUAAUUCCUUGCUUUAUUGGAUACAUUCCUUUAUUGUGAUUCCAGGCGGGGAAGGGAAAGGAACAUUUGUUAUCACACAGACAACAUAUGGCAUUAGCAAAUAACACACAGUGUUGUAGCAGCUGAAAACACAGCUGAGUGUAUUUUAACCCCCUUAACCUGAAAAGCACAGUGGUAAGAAGUCAAGCGAAAAGCUCUGCGCCUCUUUCUACUUCAUUUUGGCUGCAGUGCCACCACACGCAUCUGAAGUCAAACUUCUUUCAUUUCAUUUCUUGGCAGGUGCCAGAAAACUGAUCCCUCAGCUUCAUCGUAUCCAUAUUCUGAUACGAUACCUUAAUAAUAUCUUCUCUAUUUCGAUUGAAAAGCAGAGCAUUGGCCAAGCAUCCAUCCAGCCAGGUAUCAGCAGCCACUGUGGGAACUGCACAGGGAAACCUGCGCCAUGACAAAACCAGCACCCAACACACUGCCCAUAACAAGACUGAUAAAAAGCCCCAAAAUCAGUGAGGAGACUUUGACUGAAAUGAACUUUGGAUCGGGCUCAUUCCAAACCUUCCGUUAUCUCACUUCCAAUUUAUCACUCAGAUGUCUGUAAUUCUCCCUGGGGAGACUUUCUAGUAUUUAAACAGCUACUACCCUCUAUGAUCUCUUCCUGUUCUCAGCAGAGAAAUAGAGGAACUGUGAAAUUAUGCUAAAUGCCUCAAGAGCCCAAAGAACAGAGAUCCUUCAUUGAAUUUUCCGCAUUUAUUAUCAGCUGAGGAUGUGACUGGAAAGAACUCCAAGGUGAAAAAGUUCAGAAGUUGGUGUUUUUUUCUUUUUAAUGACUCUUGCUCAAAAUGAUCCGGGCUUCCAUCCAUUCCAGCCGUAUUUGCACUUUAAAGGAGCUCUGUCAGACAAUAAACACAUUCUAAGCCACUUUUAUUUAUAGGGAUCCUUCGUACUUCGGUGACUAUUGACUUGACAAAUCCAUUUGACCUAAAAUAUCACUGCAGAAAUGUUUUUGCGGUGUGGUUAUUAGUUAAGAAGUCUUUCCCAGGCUAAGCUGUUUUCCAGCAGUACCCUUCCAGCAGGCUGGUGGAAAAAAUAAGACCCAAAGAAGGAAGUGGAUUCUUAGCAGUGGUCAUGCAAACUGUUUUAUUCUCAUGGCAUUUUUGCAUGGCAUUAGCAACUAAAAGGCACCAGUUCAGCACAGCACUUAAGCUAUUUGCUGAAUCAGGGGCUGAAAGCUCAAGAGAAGGAGGAGGAGGAAUGACACGGGUGUUAUUCCCACAGAUUUUCUCAGAGCAUUAAAUGACUAUUAGCUGGUGUGACAAGAAUUUACCCUAUUACAGUUACAGUGGAUGAGAUUUGUGCUCUUUUGAUGGUGCAGCCUGAAACUAACAAGGCAACCUCAGCCAUCAAGUCUCUGUCUUCAGCAAAGGAGGGGGAAGGUAAGAUGCCAAACCUCAGUCCUCUUUGAAGCUGCUUUUUUUGCCUCCUAACUCCACCUGAUAGAUUUUUCUUGAUCAAUCUCUCAUGUCUGUUUCCCCAGUCCAUCACUGUGUGGGAAGUCUAGCUAAUGAAACACUCGUGUUGCUGUUGGAAAAAGCUAAAACGCCACACCAGAGCAAAACUACUCUUAGCAGAGUAACUUUCUUGAUAGCCCUGAUGGGAUCAUGGAGGAAAUGGUACACGAUAUGAUAUGUCUCUGCCAUGGGUCCCACUGUAUCAGUGCUGUAAGAAGUACUAAUGCUGGUGGGGAAGUCACUAUAUGUUCUCAGCUGCACCGUGUAUCUGGUAGAUGUUCAUCCUGGUUCAUCGUGGCAACACUGGGGGAAAUACCUUAACUCUGAGAGACAGCAGGUGAACAUCAGCUUGGUCUUCAUUUGGAGGGGUUUGGGUCAGGUGGUUGACUUCUGUUGAGCUGCUAUGAAAUGGAAAGGCACUCUCAGAUGCACGAAUAGAGCUGGAGGCACAGGGGCCAGCCUCCAAACCUCAUGCAAAGAGAAAAGGAAGCUCAGCCCAUGCUGACACACAUCCCUGGAUCAGAUCUGGAUGCAGCCUUUCCUACACGAUAUUUUACACUGAAUGCUCAUGCUAAUAAUUCAUCACAUGCCCUUCAGUAGCACCUUUGUCCUAUCAGUAACUUGUAAUCCCUCACAAGCCCAAAUGAUCCUUAUGUGCAUCAUUCCCUGAAUUACUACAAGGCAUUUGACUGUAAAUGGGUUCUUUGGCACCAAUCAGCGGAUCAUUGACCUUAGCAGUAUGGCUAUGCCAUCAAUAUACAUCUGAAGUAGAGACGUGAGUGACUUGGUAUUGAACAAUUAAUUUCACAUAUGGAAAUGCAUAUGUAAGUGGUUGUGCAAAACUGGAGAUCUCAAAGGCCCCCAGAGGGUUUGCAGAGGAAGUGCAGAGUGCCAGACAGAGAAAAACUGCCUGAGCACAGAAGCAUCACUUGAUGAACACACAGGGUCCCAAGUGCUUUGCAAAGAAAGAUAAAACGAGGCAUGAAUAUAUGGCCACAAAUGGCAUGGCGGGGCGGUGGUGAAAAACUGAGUGAUGGAGCUUUAGCAAUCCAGGCACGUUCUUCCUGCUCGGAGCUGCUCACGUGGUUGCAUCAGCAGACAUCCCAUAGCAGGAGCAAUAUCUUCAAUUUAGUGCUGGCCUAAAAAAAGUUUUCCAGCUUGUCUCCACUGCAGCAAGCACUUGAAAAUGUGAUCCUCCAGAGAAUGGAGGGCCGUCAUUUCAUAUUAUCAUCUGUCAGUGGGAUCUGUGUCUGUAAGCCAAGCAGCAAAUGGCACAGAACUCAUUGAGAGACUGAGGAUGGCAACACCAGCCCAGAAAACAAAGCCAGCAAUUGGGCAGGGGGAGAGCAGAACAGAAAGAGGAUAGAGAAGGGCCUGGAGCCAUGAGGAAGGGAGAGGGUUUGGGAGAUCAGACAGUCAGGUGGGUUUCAUUGAUGUCACACGGAGAGGAAUUUUCUAAUUCCUAUGCACCGAAGAACAAGUGAGGAGAACUCUCUGUGCUGCCGCCAGCCACAUUCAGUAGCUCUGAACUCUGAAAACAAGCUCAUGCAGUGGCUUGAUGUAUGUAUGAUCAAGGCUCUGCACAUCCACCACUGUGCAAAGAAAAUGUACCCCCAAAAAUUCACUCCUUGUCACAGAACGCCCAUACUGGAACCUCAGUGACUGUCAGAGUGCCUUUAAUGACAGUUCACCGGCUCAUAACUUCACAACAAGCAAGCAGCAAUGCUUCCUUUCCAGCUCAAUCCAGUUUAUCUCAUCUUCUCAAUAGGGUUCAUUUGCCAUCCCCAUGCACUUUGAACCAGUUUUAUGAUUUUAUCUUGAUGGCAACAAGCUUCUGCCUUGAGAAAGAGCACUUAUUAACUAGAGACAGCGUCACUUUCAAAGUGAUUUAUUUCAUGAGGGCUUUGAAAUAAAUUAUCAGUCAGUGAUUGGCCAUAGGGGAAAGCGUAUAAAAGCUUACCACGUGUGUUGAACAUACCAUCUGCUAUCCUUUAAAAUCUAGCUUCAGGGUGGCUCAGCUAAUUCUUCCGAGUGCAUAAUGUUCACAGUGCACAGUCAAGCAUGAAUAUAAAAGCGGAGUGACGUAACGCAGUGAGAGCCAACACUGCAACUGAAGCUUUCUAUCUCGGAUCUCACUGUCCCAGCCCAUCAUCAUCCCUGCAGGCAUUCAAGGCCAGGCUGGAUGUGGCUCUGGGCAGCCUGGUCUGCUGGUUGGUGACCCUGCACAUAGCAGGGGGUUGGAACUGGAUGAGCAUUGUGCUCCUUUUCAACCCAGGCCAUUCUAGGACUCUAUGAUCAAAGGCUGGCAUUUUCUUCACUAAAGCUGAUGUCACAGUCCAUCAUUUUAAUCCCGUUAAAAACAAAAACUCAACACAAAAUGAAUCCUUUCAUUUUCUAGUUAGAUCAAAAAGGGAUGCCUCCGCUAUGUGUUGGAUUUCCGCCUUCUGACUGGCUGCUGUAAGAGCAGAAGGUACAAAAGCCAUACUGUUGUUGUUCCUCUAGAUUUGUUGUUCGUGGCACG